CCCUGCUGGACGUUGUCCGAAGAGCAAGGGAGGCCAUGCUGGAGAAUGAGGGGGACGUGGCCUCUCUGGGUAAGGAGCCUCCUUCCUCGAGUCUGGAGCAGUCCUUCCGGGACAUUUUCUUGUCACUCUUCUUUUGGGGUGGAGGGGCAGGUGGGGAGCAGGUUUGUUGCACAAGAGCUGCAAAUGUACUUUAUUCUUAAUGCCAUCCAUUUUUAUCCCAACCUUCCCCCUCCAAGGAGCGCAAUGUGGGGCACACGGGUCUCCCCCUCAUUUAAUCCCCACAAGAAGCCCUAAACGGCCUGGGCCCCAUAUACCUAAGGAGCAUCUACAUCCCAUCAUUUAGCCAGGACACUGAGGUCCAGCUCUGAGGGGCUUCUGCUGGUUCCCUCAACGUGAGAAGUGAAGCGAUAGGGAACCAGGCAGAGGACCUUCUUUGUAGUGGUGCCCUCCUGUGAAACACCCUCCAGUCAUAUAUCAAGGAAAUAAAUAACUAUAUAACCUUUAGGAGCCCUGUAUCAGGAAGUUUUUAAUGCUGGACAUUUGAUUAUGUUUUUAUAUGUUCUGGAAGCUGCCCAGAGUGGGUGGGGUGACCCAGUCAGAUGGGUGGGGUUCAGAUCAAAAGUAUUAGCUUCCCAGGUCCUAGUCGGGCACUUUAACCACUGCGCUGCACUCUAGCUGUGCAAAAUGGGUUUGCUGGCAUGUGAGGGACUCCCACCAGCGUAACAGCAAUACUCCAGAAGUGCCAACCGAGUCCCCUCCCUGGGGUCCUGGCAGUGCAGUCCUGACCCCCCACCCUGCAGCCAUCUUCAGCCGUCCUCCCUUCUCCUUCCAGCACAGAGCAAAGGACCACCUUGCCCCCCGCAAACAUGCAGCCCCCUAACCCAAGGUACUGUUUAGUUAUGGGUCCUCGAUGAGCGGUCAUUGGGGAUAGUUUGGACCAUAAGGCCGAAUGCUUCCUCACUUCUUCUUUCUCCUCUUCUUCCUUCUUCUUCCUUCUUUCCCGCAUAGCACUGCCGCUUCCCAAGACGAGCCUCGUCGCCAGCGCAGAGCAAGCGGAAGAGCCCAGGACGCCACAAUAUCAGAUCUCAGACGGAACAGGGGCUGCCAUUUUGGACACCAGCUCAGGUGAGGCAGUUUGGGCGGGAUGCCGAGUCCGUUCAGAGUUUCCCCUCCCUUGCUGAGAAUGGGCAAGAAAAAUGUUCUCUGUUACUUCAUUUUAAAAGGCUCUUUCACUGGUUAUACCUUAUGCAGUGGGUGUUGUGGGAGGGGGGAGGGGGAGAAGUGGUACGACUUCCGUCUCUCACGCAUCAUCUGAUCCAAUGAUUUCAGUCUGGAUUCUGAAGCUACUUCUCUGCCAUCUUCAAACCCCGAUUCCGCUUUCUUCACUCUCUCUGCAGCAAACUUGAGGAGGAAACACUUCUGCCCAGAGAGUGGCCAAUGCUUUGCCUUCGGAUUGGCUCUUGCUGGACACCAGAGAAUCCACACAGGGGAGAAGAUCCAGGAAAGCUCUGAGAGUGGGGAAUGUUUUGCUCAGAGUUCAGAGCUUGUGAGCCCUUUGGAAACCCCUGUGUCUUUGGAGUUCAGGAAGGUUCUUGCUCAUCAGCCCAUCGUUCUGAUCCACCGGAACGUCCAUGCAGGAGGAGAUAAGUCAUAUCGCUGCUUGGAGUGUGGGGAAGGUUUUCCCCGACUCUCAGAUUUUGUGAAACAUGAAAGAGGCCACACAGGGGAGAAACCCCACAAAUAUGGCAAGAGUAGGAUUGGGUUCCCCAAGAGUUCACAGCUUCAUGGACCCCAUAAAGUCCACACAGGAGAGAAGCCCCACAAAUGCAGUAUGUGUGGGUUAUGCUUUUCUUAUAGGUCAGAACUUGUUACCCAUCAGCGAACCCACACUGGAGAAAAACCCUAUAAAUGCCCAGAGUGUGGGAAAUCAUUUGCUCAAAAGUCAGGCCUUGUGAUCCAUCAGAGACUCCACACAGGAGAGAAGCCCUAUGAAUGCUGGGAGUGUGGGAAAUCAUUUGCUGAAAAGUCAGUCCUUGUGGUCCAUCAGAGACUCCACACAGGAGAGAAGCCCUAUGAAUGCUGGGAGUGUGGGAAAUGUUUUCCUCAAAAUGCACAGCUUUGGAGCCAUCGGUUGGUUCACACAGGGGAGAAACGGUAUAAAUGCUUUGAAUGUGGAAAAAAGUUUACUUGCCGUUCCAGCCUUGUAAGCCAUCAGAAAACCCACACAGGAGAAAGGCCCCAUAAGUGUCUGGAAUGUGGCAAAUGUUUCCCCACAAAUGGAAGUCUCAGGCGACACCAGAGAAUCCACACAGGAGAGAAACCCUAUGAAUGUAGAGAAUGUGGCAAAUGUUUUCAUGAGAAAGGUGAACUUCUGAGCCAUCAGACUGUGCACACCGGGGAGAGGCCUCAUAAAUGUGUGGAGUGUGGGAAAUGUUUUCUUGUACCAUCACAUCUUGCAAUCCACCAGAGAAUCCAUACAGGAGAGAAACCCUACAAAUGCAUGGAAUGUGGAAAAUGCUUUUCCCAGAAACAACACCUCAAGCAGCACGA
rnacentral:lncRNA from 1 species